CAGAGUUGCAAAACUCCCACAAACCAUCGCGAAUCUUACCCGUACGGUUGCCUCGGCGCUGGCGGUCCGGAAGGCCCUCGGGCCCCCCGGAUCCUCGGGUCUCCCGCUCGCGGGAGGCUGCCCGCCGGAGUGCUGAAACCAAACUCUUGAUAUUUUAUGUCUCUCUGAGUAAACUCUUAAAUAAGUCA
rnacentral:misc_RNA from 1 species